GAUGAACGCUGGCGGCGUGCCUAAUACAUGCAAGUCGAGCGAACAGACGAGGAGCUUGCUCCUUUGACGUUAGCGGCGGACGGGUGAGUAACACGUGGGUAACCUACCUAUAAGACUGGGAUAACUUCGGGAAACCGGAGCUAAUACCGGAUAAUAUUUCGAACCGCAUGGUUCGAUAGUGAAAGAUGGUUUUGCUAUCACUUAUAGAUGGACCUGCGCCGUAUUAGCUAGUUGGUAAGGUAACGGCUUACCAAGGCAACGAUACGUAGCCGACCUGAGAGGGUGAUCGGCCACACUGGAACUGAGACACGGUCCAGACUCCUACGGGAGGCAGCAGUAGGGAAUCUUCCGCAAUGGGCGAAAGCCUGGCGGAGCAACGCCGCGUGAGUGAUGAAGGUCUUCGGAUCGUAAAACUCUGUUAUUAGGGAAGAACAAACGUGUAAGUAACUGUGCACGUCUUGACGGUACCUAAUCAGAAAGCCACGGCUAACUACGUG
rnacentral:rRNA from 1 species